UCAUCAGUGAAUGUAAUUUCUGCCUGCAAUUUAGUAAGAAUGUCCCGUCCAAGGAGUGCUAUGGGACAGGAGGGGCUACAAACAAACUGGUGAGAAAUCUGACGGUCCCCUACUUUUACAAGAAGAGGCAAAGUUUUUUCCAAAGCUGUAGUUUGUCCCUCAAUCCCCUGGACUAUGGCACAUCCCUGAGCUCUACCUCGGGGAGCCUUAUUAAGGGGGAGCAAACUAAGGGUAGCCCCAGUAUCAAUAAGGGCUUCAAUUGGGCGGCCCCCCACUUUAAUUUUCACCGUGGGAUCCAGGCUGGCGGCUUGUGCUGCCAGGAGGGGCCGCUGGGUCCCCCGGCCUCCCUAUGGGGAGGAUUCUUCCCCCGGGAUUCCUGUAUUGCUAUAGAGGAUUGGACGGGGCGGGGUUCUAUCUUUAUGCUCCCUUCCCGUGGCCUGUCGCCGGGGGCAUUCAUUCUUCCAAUGUCCCUCCUCCCUACAGAUAGCACACUGAUUCCGACCCAGACGGGGGCCUUUUCCCUUCCCCAACGGCCCUGACCGUUCCUUAACUUUGUCCCCCCUUUCCUCAUAUCCUUCCCUUAGGGCCAUGGCCAAAGCGCGGGCCCCUUUCUUUCGUUCCUCAUCAUCCCUUCGAUCAUAAACCUUCAAAGCAAUUGCUAACAGUUCCUCUAUAUUUUUGCCCGACGCCCCCUCCAACUUUUGCAACU